CCUCUCUCAAGGUCGCACCUGGAGAGUUUCCGGUACUCUACCAGUUUCGGCUAUAGCAGGGAGAGUCGAGCAGAGGCCUACCCAUUCCAUUCCUAGCUUGGGCAGUGGCUAGCGAGUGGAAGACAAUCUGCUACAAGU
rnacentral:snoRNA from 1 species